UACGGAGGGGGCUAGCGUUGUUCGGAAUUACUGGGCGUAAAGCGCACGUAGGCGGAUUGUUAAGUCGGGGGUGAAAUCCUGGAGCUCAACUCCAGAACUGCCUUCGAUACUGGGAGCUCGAGUCCGGGAGAGGUGAGUGGGAACUGGCGAGUGUAGAGGUGAAAUUCGUAGAUAUUCGACAAGAACACCAGUGGCGAAGGCGGCUCACUGGCCCGGUACUGACGCUGAGGUGCGAAAGCGUGGGGGGCAAACAGGG
rnacentral:rRNA from 1 species